rnacentral:rRNA from 1 species
UACGUAGGGUGCAGGCGUUAAUCGGAUUUACUGGGCGUAAAGCGUACGCAGACGGUGAGAAAGGUCGGAUGUGAAAGCCCCGGGCUCAACCCGGGAACUGCAUCCGAAACCAUCUCGCUAGAGUAUGGGAGAGGGAAGCGGAAUUCCUGGUGUAGAGGUGAAAUUCGUAGAUAUCAGGAGGAACACCUGCGGCGAAGGCGGCUUCCUGGCCCCAUUACUGACGUCAGGUACGAAAGCGUGGGGAGCAAACAAGG